UUGAAGUGGCAUAGAGGGUUAGUCUCCAAAUCUUGGCUCAGAGGAAUCCUCAUUCCUUCACUGACCCGUACUUCUCUUCCUCGCCUGUGGUCAUGGGGAUCUGAGUCCCACAUGGAAAGGUUCAAAACAGAGAUGGAGGCAGGCCAGAGAACCAGCUUUCACAAGCUCCUAGCAUCACUGGUACAAUCUGCAGGAAGCUUAAUGGACCCAUGGAAGGAGGGUAGGAAUCAGGAAGCUCCUUGCCUACAAGAGAGGCAACCCAGAGGCGCUGCAGGAGUUUUAGGUGCCCCAUGGGGUUCACACCACAGUGCUGUAGACGUGCCAAAAAUGUCUGCUUCACAGCAGGGCUGAGCAGUCUUGUCCCUACCUCCUAUCCAGAGUCCAGGCGAGAUGGCAGCCCCACAGCCUUGCAAGGCACAAACCAACAUGUGAGCGAAGAAAGCCUUUACGUCCCACUUCUACCAGAGUGGACCAACACAUGCCCAACACCAGCAUCCCCAAGCCACUAUUGCUGGGAAUGAGGCCUUGCCACCACGAGAACCCUCAUCAGCGGGAUAACUCAUGCAGAACAGGGCUGUCUGGAGGACCAGCAGACAUCUGUCUUGGUGGCUUUGCUCCUGCCACCGGGCACUGGCAUUUGUGAUGGAGAGAAGGAGGAAGAGGGUGGAUUGCAAUGGCAAAAAAAACCACCCCAAGUUUUGCAAAAUUCUGCGGAUGAAAGCAACAGUCCUAGUUUCCUUCCUUGUGCCAAGGAUCUUGCUGAACCAACGAGACUGAGGACCUUUGAUAGCAAGUUAGGAGAAUUUGGUGCUGUGCAAGAAAGCCCCCCCAAGUUUUGCCAGUAUUCCUCAGCAACAUCCCUGUUUGUUAAACAUUCUCCGGGUGUAAUGUGAGGGAUAGGUUAAUUAGCACGUACAUUUUUAUGUGGACCAGCUGUCUACUCUGUCCGUUGUCUGAAAUGCAAAGUCCUCUGGGAAUCCCUAUAAGAAAACACACUUUGUCUUCUAGGAACAGAAUGGUUUUCUUUUAAUAUCCACUUCAACUGUAACUUGUUUAGCUUAUAAAUCUUGACAACAGA